AGAGUUUGAUCCUGGCUCAGAUUGAACGCUGGCGGCAGGCCUAACACAUGCAAGUCGAGCGGAUGAGUGGAGCUUGCUCCAUGAUUCAGCGGCGGACGGGUGAGUAAUGCCUAGGAAUCUGCCUGGUAGUGGGGGACAACGUUUCGAAAGGAACGCUAAUACCGCAUACGUCCUACGGGAGAAAGCAGGGGACCUUCGGGCCUUGCGCUAUCAGAUGAGCCUAGGUCGGAUUAGCUAGUAGGUGAGGUAAUGGCUCACCUAGGCGACGAUCCGUAACUGGUCUGAGAGGAUGAUCAGUCACACUGGAACUGAGACACGGUCCAGACUCCUACGGGAGGCAGCAGUGGGGAAUAUUGGGACAAUGGGCGAAAGCCUGAUCCAGCCAUG
rnacentral:rRNA from 1 species